GGAGGAUUAGCUCAGCUGGGAGAGCAUCUGCCCUUACAAGCAGAGGGUCGGCGGUUCGAGCCCGUCAUCCUCCACCA
rnacentral:tRNA from 1 species